UACAGAGGUCUCAAGCGUUGUUCGGAUUCAUUGGGCGUAAAGGGUGCGUAGGCGGCGCGGUAAGUCAGGGUGUGAAAUCUCGGAGCUUAACUCCGAAACUGCAUUCGAUACUGCCGUGCUUGAGGACUGGAGAGGAGACUGGAAUUUACGGUGUAGCGGUGAAAUGCGUAGAUAUCGUAAGGAAGACCAGUGGCGAAGGCGGGUCUCUGGACAGUUCCUGACGCUGAGGCACGAAGGUCAGGGGAGCAAACGGGG
rnacentral:rRNA from 1 species